rnacentral:rRNA from 1 species
UCCAGACUCCUACGGGAGGCAGCAGUGGGGAAUAUUGGGCAAUGGGCGCAAGCCUGACCCAGCAACGCCGCGUGAAGGAAGAAGGCUUUCGGGUUGUAAACUUCUUUUGACAGGGAAGAGCAGAAGACGGUACCUGUCGAAUAAGCCACGGCUAACUACGUGCCAGCAGCCGCGGUAAUACGUAGGUGGCAAGCGUUGUCCGGAUUUACUGGGUGUAAAGGGCGUGUAGCCGGGCUUACAAGUCAGAUGUGAAAUCCGGGGGCUCAACCCCCGAACUGCAUUUGAAACUGUAGGUCUUGAGUAUCGGAGAGGCAGGCGGAAUUCCUAGUGUAGCGGUGAAAUGCGUAGAUAUUAGGAGGAACACCAGUGGCGAAGGCGACGAUCUGGCCUGCAACUGACGCUCAGUCCCGAAAGCGUGGGGAGCAAAUAGGAUUAGAUACCCGCGUAGA